CCAAGAUCCGUAAUCCUUCUCCAUUUCUCUUCAAAUUUCACAUGUCCACAACUUUUUCGUUUCUCAACGAAAUUGAGCGAUUCUUGCGGCCACGGAACGAGAAAACGAUUAUCUACAGAUAUGUGGCAUCAAUUUGAGUGAAUUUAUAAGCUUGAAUUGGAUGCAAAAUGAUGAUGGAGCUAAGGUUUUCAAGGUGAAAUUGAGCUUGAUUAAAGGGAUUUGAUGGUGAUUGUUCAUAUUAGAGCCAUUUGGUAUAGAGGCAUCGUUCAAGGUGAGCAAGUUUCUAAGUUUGAUGAGUAUUUGAUUGAUAAAUGUUAAUGAAU